GACGAACGCUGGCGGCGUGCUUAACACAUGCAAGUCGAACGAAGUGGCGCACGGGUGAGUAACGCGUAAUCAACCUGCCCUUCAGAGGGGGACAACAGUUGGAAAAGACGGCUAAUAACGCAUACUGAAGGAGGGGAUUGCGGCUGAUUAGCUAGUUGGAGGGGUAAAGGCCCACCAAGGCGAUGUUCAGUAGACGGGUUGAGAGGAUGAACGGCCACAUUGGGACUGAGACACGGCCCAGACUCCUACGGGAGGCAGCAGUGGGGAAUCUUCCGCAAUGGACGAAAGUCUGACGGAGCAACGCCGCGUGAGUGAUGACGGCCUUCGGGUUGUAAAGCUCUGUUAAUCGGGACGCGGUACCGGAAUAGAAAGCCACGGCUAACUACGUGCCAGCAGCCGCGGUAAUAC
rnacentral:rRNA from 1 species